GAUGAACGCUGGCGGCUUGCCUAAUACAUGCAAGUCGAGCGAACGGACGAGAAGCUUGCUUCUCUGAUGUUAGCGGCGGACGGGUGAGUAACACGUGGAUAACCUACCUAUAAGACUGGGAUAACUUCGGGAAACCGGAGCUAAUACCGGAUAAUAUUUUGAACCGCAUGGUUCAAAAGUGAAAGACGGUCUUGCUGUCACUUAUAGAUGGAUCCGCGCUGCAUUAGCUAGUUGGUAAGGUAACGGCUUACCAAGGCAACGAUGCAUAGCCGACCUGAGAGGGUGAUCGGCCACACUGGAACUGAGACACGGUCCAGACUCCUACGGGAGGCAGCAGUAGGGAAUCUUCCGCAAUGGGCGAAAGCCUGACGGAGCAACGCCGCGUGAGUGAUGAAGGUCUUCGGAUCGUAAAACUCUGUUAUUAGGGAAGAACAUAUGUGUAAGUAACUGUGCACAUCUUGACGGUACCUAAUCAGAAAGCCACGGCUAACUACGUGCCAGCAGCCGCGGUAAUACGUAGGUGGCAAGCGUUAUCCGGAAUUAUUGGGCGUAAAGCGCGCGUAGGCGGUUUUUUAAGUCUGAUGUGAAAGCCCACGGCUCAACCGUGGAGGGUCAUUGGAAACUGGAAAACUUGAGUGCAGAAGAGGAAAGUGGAAUUCCAUGUGUAGCGGUGAGAUGCGCCGAGAUAUGGAGGAACACCAGUGGCGAAGGCGACUUUCUGGUCUGUAACUGACGCUGAUGUGCGAAAGCGUGGGGAUCAAACAGGAUUAGAUACCCUGGUAGUCCACGCCGUAAACGAUGAGUGCUAAGUGUUAGGGGGUUUCCGCCCCUUAGUGCUGCAGCUAACGCAUUAAGCACUCCGCCUGGGGAGUACGACCGCAAGGUUGAAACUCAAAGGAAUUGACGGGGACCCGCACAAGCGGUGGAGCAUGUGGUUUAAUUCGAAGCAACGCGAAGAACCUUACCAAAUCUUGACAUCCUUUGACAACUCUAGAGAUAGAGCCUUCCCCUUCGGGGGACAAAGUGACAGGUGGUGCAUGGUUGUCGUCAGCUCGUGUCGUGAGAUGUUGGGUUAAGUCCCGCAACGAGCGCAACCCUUAAGCUUAGUUGCCAUCAUUAAGUUGGGCACUCUAAGUUGACUGCCGGUGACAAACCGGAGGAAGGUGGGGAUGACGUCAAAUCAUCAUGCCCCUUAUGAUUUGGGCUACACACGUGCUACAAUGGACAAUACAAAGGGCAGCGAAACCGCGAGGUCAAGCAAAUCCCAUAAAGUUGUUCUCAGUUCGGAUUGUAGUCUGCAACUCGACUACAUGAAGCUGGAAUCGCUAGUAAUCGUAGAUCAGCAUGCUACGGUGAAUACGUUCCCGGGUCU
rnacentral:rRNA from 1 species